rnacentral:tRNA from 1 species
GCCCAAGUGGCGGAACGGUAGACGCGUUAAGUUCAGGUCUUAAUAAAGAAAUUUUCUUUGUGGAGGUUCAAAUCCUCUUUUGGGCA